AAAAGAUUAAACCCUUAAACAGUAACAUUUUCUACCUUCUUGACUAUUUGGAAGACAAUUGUUCGUUUGCAUUGUAAUGUAAUGGUUAGCUUAAACCUACCUCUAUUAGCUGAAAAGUGUAGAAUCUACUUAAAUACACGUUGAAAAUCAGGGUUAGUAUUACCUCAUCCCAACUUUCUACUGAUAUGUUGGGAUUGUUUUUAUAAUUAGUUUUCUUUUUUAGUGGCAGCUGACUUUGAAUUUAGAACAAUAUGAUUGAAAUCCAGAUAUAUACAGUUAAAUGUUUUUACUAUAGGAAAACAUUUUAGCCAUAGAGCAAUAAUUUGUUUUUAUCCAAGACAAGAAUGCACUGUUUUAAAAUAUGGAAUGACAAAAUUUCCCUAUUUUCCUUUGAUUCAUUAAAUCUUACCAAAGUGCUGACAGAAUCUACUGAAGUUUGUUUCUUGAGUCCUCACAGCUGGACUGAUGCAGACAGUGGUAUCUCAGAAGUAGCAACAGUGCUUCAGCCUUGGAUUCAAAAACAUUGGGAAUGUAAACAUACUUUUGUUUGACAUGUUGUUCAAAGUGGUAUUUAGUUAGUUUGAGCACUUGAGUCAUUCCUUCACAAAUAUCAGAUUAUUUUCAUCUGAAGAUCAAUUAUUCCAUUAGCAAGUAAAGACCAGAGUCAAAAAGUUUCAUGUAAUAUUUACUUCUUAUAUUUUUACCACUCAAUAACUUGAGUUUUUACUUGAUUUCUGCACCCUUAGCAUUAUUGCUUCACAUUUGAGCCUGUGUUUAUCUGAUGCAAAGUGCUGUGUGGAUGUGGGUUAAAAAGAUCAUAAUGUAUUCUGAUACAAGCUGUUUAAAUAUUUUACCAUAAAGCAGGUGCUAGUUUGAAUUAUUGAUCAUGCUAGUCCUUUUAAGAACAUGCCACAGUUAAAAAUAGCUCAGUGAAAAAGUGUCUGUGGGAAACAUCUACAGAACUGUGCAAAAGUUUUAGGCAGGUGAGUAAAAGUGCUGCAAACAAAUAAAAAUGAUAGUUUGUUUUCUAUAAACUGAUGUAAAUAAAGUGGGAGAACAAAGGAAAAAAAAUCAAGUCAACAUUUGGUGUUUCUGCGUUUUGUCUUCAAACCAACAUAAAUUCUUACAGGUUGACUUGCACAACCUGUAUGUCGUCAACCAAACAGAUGCUGAUGAUCAAUGUUACACGUAGCUUAAAACUAAUCAUGAAGUGAAGCAGAAACGGACUUCAAGCUGAGCAACAGCCAAACACUUCUACCAAGAUGGCCGUUCAGGUUCAAGAAGAUAGAAGGAAGUUCUACUCCAUCAGCAAGGUCUCUGCCAGACAACGGUUUCAGACCAGAAUAGGCUUCCAUGUUUUCAUGCUCUUAUGAAGAAGCACAAAGAAACGGACUGUCAACACACAGGCGGACAAGGAAAUUUAGUGUAGUAGAGGUUAUUACUUUUUCAAAAUCAGAAGAUGUCCUGUAGAAACCAGGCACACCUGUCUACUGUCCAGAGAAGACUGGUCUUCAUGGCAAAGUUAAAGGUAAAAAGCCAAACUUCUAACGUGGACACAAGAUUAAGCAACUCAACAAUGCAGGAAAGCAAAGACUGGGCUGCAAAAAAGUGGCAGCAGCUGCUCUGAACUGAUAAAUCUAAUGUGCAAUGCUUGUAGCAGAAGGCAGUUUGCUUGUGGAAGCAUGGUACAGGCAGGUCCGGCAUUUCUGCAAAUGGAGAUUUGAUCAGGAUUAACGGUGUUCUCAAAACAGAGAAGUACUCUCAGAUACUUUCAAAUCAACAGAAGUAUGAUUGGCCCCAACCUGCAGUACAAAAAAAACCCAAAGAUCUAAAGUCACAAAGAACUAUCUUCAGCAGCAGGAAGAACUGAACUGGACACUCCAGGGCGCUGCUCCCAGCAUCAUGGAGUGAUUCUGGGUUUAACUGAAGAGACUGACAGAUGUGAGAAAACCUACAUUCACAGAAGUUCUGUUGUUGGUUCUCUAAUGCCUCGUUUCCACUGAGCGGGCCGGACUGGACUUUUUAGAGUUUCCAUUACAAAAUGAACCAGUCAAGCAGGACCGACUGGUAUUAUUUCUGGUCCCCCAUUGGUCGUAGGUCCAUAGAGAAAUGAAAUUCACCCGUGAGGGCGGAGCUUCUGUCGUCACACGAUGUAACCCAUUGAUUGGUGGAAAGGAUUUAUGACAACAUCAAGCAUCUGAUCAGCCCUUUUCCCGACUCAAGCUCCAAACAGAAAGUGUUGUUCUAUUUUCGUCUGGAUUCUUCUUCCCCUCUGCAAUCUUCUUGCAAAGAAUAAUAGAUUCUUUACAUGCAGUAUUCCCCCUUAUUGGGGGACCAGAGACGCACCAAAUCAACGAAUACAGAGAGACACCCCUCGCCCGUUUCUGUCUCACCCAACCCCCUCAGCUCAAGGAUGUCUGUUAUUGAUCAUACUCAUCAAUAACAUUGUGAACAUUUAUUGAAGAACAUUGGAGUAUUGCUCAACAUAGUGUUUUUUUCUUUUUAAUUCAGAACAAUAGACUGCUCUGCAGCAUAGACUGUUCAUGAAU